CCGCCAGCAUGGGAUUCCGGUGGGCCGUCUCCCCCCUGUGCAUGGCACACCCUGCCUCGCCUCCCCACCCAGAUCCGUUGGUCGAUCCCCUCGCUGCUCCCUCCCUCUCCGCCACGCGCCACUCCAAGCCGGCACCCACCCUUCCUGCCGCCGCACACCACUCCUUCCGCGGCGGCUGCAUCCUUCCUCCUCUCCCCUUCGGCCGCCACCUCCUUCCUCCUCUCCCCUUCAACCUCCUCCACACUUGCGGUGCCUCCCAAUGGAGCAACGACCGGUGGUUUCAUCAUUGGGGAUCGGUGUUGACCUACUGAACCAUGGACUCCCUGCUGCCCAUCCCAACUUGGCGUCCGCGCCGGCAAGCACCUCCUCCCUAUGAUGCAAUGUAUGCACUUCCCUCUUGGUUAUUGAUUUGCUGGCAACGACAUCGAGCUCCUGACUACCGUCACACUAUCUGUUGACUUGAAGCUACUGUACUCUGUUCGUCACAAGCCCAUUGCUUCCACCGGCCCACCCUGUGUAUCUUCACUGGUCACAAUGGAUAGCGAACAGACAGCUGACUAAUUGAUGUCGGAUGCUCCCUCUCCUAAUAAUAAUGUUUGAGCCGCUUCACUUCCUCUCCCCACCAUCUCCAGAAGAAACUGAUGGAUUGCUCUUUAAAGUCUGCCUGGCCUUACCUCAUUUCCUUCCCAUCGGGUCUCUGCCACACCACUCAUACCACCUACGGUACUGCGUGCUCAAGGAUGCCCAAGUAGUCAUCUUCAUUGGUUUCCCACACUACAAGCACAGGCGCAUUUGGUUUUUGCCUCCUACUAGUCACUUUCAGGCAUGAGGAAGUGCAUACUGAAGAAGACAAGGAGCACAUGGGGUAGAGCAAUGUGUUUUGGAUGUCAGAAUCAGAAUGCCAUGAGAGUUCUACAUGUGCUUGCGUGGGCCAUGGGUGUGUGUGUGUUUCUGGAGCGUGUGGGUUAUUAAAUGCGCUACUAUCAGCAAGGCGAGGCAUUGAUGAUGAAAUAGAAUUUUGAAUCCCAUCCGCCCCAUAUCUGAACUCAACAAAAGAAGAAAGAUAAGGUUGCUAAUCCUCUUUGGGGUUGAUUUGGUGUAAGAUCCUGAUCCGCCUUCGGUUGAGUUGGAGGUAGGCUGAGAGAACUCCAUUCAAACUCAGUACACAUAAUAGGCUUCCUGUAGUACACAUAGAAAGCAUCUGGGAGUGGCUGAUGGGCAUCAUCAUGGUGCUCACCGAAGGUGGAAAUCAUUGAGUAAGUAUGCAGAUCGACAUGCAGAUCUAGCGUUGUAACUCAUUUCAUCUAUUGGCUUAAACAGGAACUCAGGGC